GAUGAACGCUGCGGCGUGCUUAAUACAUGCAAGUCGAACGGAGACAGUAGCAAUAUUGUCUUAGUGGCGAACGGGUGAGUAACGCGUUGGUGACCUGCCCCGAAGAGGGGGAUAACAGUCCGAAAGGAUUGCUAAUACCCCAUGUGGUCGUUUGGAUUAGAUGCCUUAUGACUAAACGGAUUUAUUCGCUUCGGGAGGGGCCUGCGUCCCAUCAGCUAGUUGGUAAGGUAAUGGCUUACCAAGGCGAUGACGGGUAGGGGACCUGAGAGGGUGGCCCCCCACAAUGGAACUGAAACACGGUCCAUACACCUGCGGGUGGCAGCAGUAGGGAAUAUUGGUAAUGUGCGAAAGCGCGAACCAGCAACGCCGCGUGCGCGAUGAAGGCCUUCGGGUUGUAAAGCGCUUUUUAUGGGGAUGAGGAAGGACAGUACUCAUAGAAUAAGCCUCGGCUAACUACGUGCCAGCCGCCGCGGUAACAC
rnacentral:rRNA from 1 species